rnacentral:rRNA from 1 species
UUGAUAAUUGAUAAGUUGGAUUGUAUUUGAGUGUUUUGGGUUUAUUUGCCUUUUGCAUCAUGCUUGAUGGAUUUUUAUGAAGUAUUUUUUUAAUCGAAUAGUUUAGAUCUUAAUGUCAGUUGUUUAGAAUGUUAUUUUGAAUUAGGUAAAUUUAAAUAAAUUGGUUUUAUGAUGUGAUAAGUUAUUCGUUAAAUUUUAUUUCUAUUUAGUUGCUUAAUUAUUUUACAUUAUAUGAUAAGUUAAAAGAUUUGUCAUAAUAUUAUACUGUUGAUUAGAUUUCAUUAAUAUUGGGUUAGAAGUACCUAUUUUUUGUAAGUUUGUUAUAAAAGAUGGUCUGUUUUGUUUUGUAGUUAAGUUUGGUGGCAACUUAAGGUAAUAAGUAGUGUGUUAUUUAUCAUUAAAUUAGUAAUUAUAUUAUACUAAUUAUUUCUCAGGGUCUUUCCGUCUGUUUAUUAAAAACAUUUCUAGUUUGAAUAUUAACUAGUAGUGCCUGCCCGGUGUUAGUUUAGAUAAUAAAUGGCCGCAGUAUCUUGACUGUGCAAAGGUAGCAUAAUUAAUUGCCUUUUAAUUGGGGGCUUGUUUGAAUGGUUUGACGAGAGAGAUGUGAAUAUUUGGUAUUGGUGUGAAUUUGAUGUUGGGAAUACAGAAUUUCCAGAGUUUAAUAAGACGGAAAGACCCUGGGAUCUUUAUUUUUUUGCUUGGGGCAAGUUUCAUUUUUUCAGUGUAAUUGUGACCCUAACUAUAGUUUAGUGAGUUAAGUUACCCCAGGGAUAACAGUGUGAUAAUUAAUGAGAGAUCUUAUCGAAUUAGUUGUUUGCCACCUCGAUGUUGACUUAGGUUAGGACUUGGGUGCAGUAGUCUAAGUUUUUGGUCUGUUCGACCUUAUUUACCUUCAUGAGUUGAGUUAAGACCGGCGUGAGCCAGGUCGGUUCUUAUCUAUUGUAGAAGUUUAUCAGUACGAAAGGAUAGUAAGCUUUUUUGUU